GUGGGAGGAAGCUCACUACAGAGGUCACACACUGAGUGUUAAUCACUCCACCAUGAACCUUGGGGAAGGUCUGAGACAAGAGCCAAUUGCUGUCCUUGCAGGGCAUCACCUGGUCCAGGUGAGUGAGUACCCAGAAACGUUGGGCCUCAGUGGGAUGUCUUCAUAAGAGAAGUCAGUUAGUGUUGUAAUUCACUCUCAAGUCGAGAUCACGAAACCAAGUCGUUCUUUGUAUUACGGGCUUUAAUCACACAAAGCAUGAUAGUGUGCCGUGAGAACUGUUAGACAUACAGAAAGAAAAAACAAAAAAAACAACUUAUUUCCAC
rnacentral:lncRNA from 1 species